AUCUAAUCCAGAGUACCACGAGACACGUGAAACCUUGUGGGAAGCAGGGAGGACCACCUCCCAAGGCUAAAUACUACCUAGUGACCGAUAGUGAAGCAGUACCGUGAGGGAAAGGUGAAAAGAACCCCGGAAGGGGAGUGAAAUAGAACCUGAAACCGUGUGCCUACAACCGAUCGGAGCACGUUAAAGUGUGACGAUGUGCUUUUUGUAGAACGAGCCAGCGAGUUACGCUAUGUAGCAAGGUUAAGUACUUAAGGUAUGGAGCCGAAGGGAAACCGAGUCUGAAAAGGGCGAAAAGUUGCAUGGUGUAGACCCGAAACCGGGUGACCUAUCCAUGGCCAGGUUGAAGCGAGAGUAAAAUCUCGUGGAGGACCGAACCACGUUGGUGUUGAAAAACCAUGGGAUGAGCUGUGGAUAGCGGAGAAAUUCCAAUCGAACUCGGAGAUAGCUGGUUCUCCUCGAAAUAGCUUUAGGGCUAGCGUCGUGUAAUUGAGUAAUGGAGGUAGAGCACUGAAUGGGCUAGGGGCUAUAGUAGUUACCGAACCCUAUCAAACUCCGAAUGCCAUAUACUUGUAUCACGGCAGUCAGACUGCGAAUGAUAAGAUCCGUAGUCAAAAGGGAAACAGCCCAGACCAUCAGCUAAGGUCCCAAAGUGUAAGUUAAGUGGAAAAGGAUGUGGGAUUUCUAAGACAACUAGGAUGUUGGCUUAGAAGCAGCCACUCAUUUAAAGAGUGCGUAAUAGCUCACUAGUCAAGAGAUCCUGCGCCGAAGAUGUCCGGGGCUCAAACUUACCACCGAAGCUAUGGGUGUACACUAUGUGUACGCGGUAGAGGAGCUUUCUGUAUGGGUUGAAGUCGUACCGUAAGGAGCGGUGGACUGUACAGAAGUGAGAAUGCUGGCAUAAGUAGCGAGAAAUAAGUGAGAAUCUUAUUGGCCGAAAACCUAAGGUUUCCUGAGGAAGGUUCGUCCGCUCAGGGUUAGUCGGGACCUAAGCCGAGGCCGAAAGGCGUAGGUGAUGGACAAUCGGUUGAUAUUCCGAUACCACCUAUUUACGUUUGAGAAAUGGGGUGACGCAGUAGGAUAAGAUGUGCGCACUAUUGGAUGUGCGUCUAAGCACUUAGGCAUGCUUGAUAGGCAAAUCCGUCGAGCUAAGCUGAGGUGUGAUGGGGAGCCAUUUAUGGCGAAGUAUCUGAUUCCACACUGCCAAGAAAAGCCUCUAUCGAGUGAAUAGGUGCCCGUACCGCAAACCGACACAGGUAGGUGAGGAGAGAAUCCUAAGGCCAUCGGAAGAAUUGCUGUUAAGGAACUCGGCAAAUUGACCCCGUAACUUCGGGAGAAGGGGUGCCUACGAAAGUAGGCCGCAGAGAAUAGGCCCAAGCAACUGUUUAGCAAAAACACAGGUCUCUGCUAAAGCGAAAGCUGAUGUAUAGGGGCUGACGCCUGCCCGGUGCUGGAAGGUUAAGGGGAACACUUAGCGUAAGCGAAGGUGUGAACUUAAGCCCCAGUAAACGGCGGCCGUAACUAUAACGGUCCUAAGGUAGCGAAAUUCCUUGUCGGGUAAGUUCCGACCCGCACGAAUGGCGUAAUGAUUUGGGCACUGUCUCAACAGCAAAUCCGGCGAAAUUGUAGUGCAAGUGAAGAUGCUUGCUACCCGCGAUUGGACGGAAAGACCCCGUAGAGCUUUACUGUAGCUUAGCAUUGAAUCUCGGUAUUGUCUGUACAGGAUAGGUGGGAGACUUGGAAGCUUGGGCGUCAGCCUGAGUGGAGUCAUCCUUGGGAUACCACCCUGACAGUACUGGGGUUCUAACCGGCGGCCAUGAAUCUGGUCACGGGACAUUGUUAGGUGGGCAGUUUGACUGGGGCGGUCGCCUCCUAAAAAGUAACGGAGGCGCCCAAAAGUUCCCUCAGCGCGGUCGGAAAUCGCGCGAAGAGUGCAAAGGCAGAAGGGAGCUUGACUGCGACACAUACAGGUGGAGCAGGGACGAAAGUCGGGCUUAGUGAUCCGGUGGUACCUCGUGGGAGGGCCAUCGCUCAACGGAUAAAAGCUACCUCGGGGAUAACAGGCUGAUCUCCCCCAAGAGUCCACAUCGACGGGGAGGUUUGGCACCUCGAUGUCGGCUCGUCGCAUCCUGGGGCUGAAGUAGGUCCCAAGGGUUGGGCUGUUCGCCCAUUAAAGCGGCACGCGAGCUGGGUUCAGAACGUCGUGAGACAGUUCGGUCCCUAUCCGUCGCGGGCGUAGGAAAUUUGAGAGGAGCUGUCCUUAGUACGAGAGGACCGGGAUGGACCAACCUCUGGUGCACCAGUUGUCACGCCAGUGGCACAGCUGGGUAGCUAUGUUGGGACUGGAUAAACGCUGAAAGCAUCUAAGCGUGAAGCCAACCUCAAGAUGAGAUUUCCCAUAGCGUAAGCUAGU
rnacentral:rRNA from 1 species